GUGUGUGUCAGUGUAGUGAAUGCAGAGUGUGUGUCAGUGUAAUGAAUGCAGAGUGUGUGUUAGUGAAGUGAAUGCAGAGUGUGUGUGUGUUUACUAGUGUAUGCAUGUAAUGUAAUAAUGUAAAUGUAAUCUGUUAUUCCCCCCUCCCUGUUUCUUACCUGGUCCAGGGAGGGAGGAGAUUCCAUGAUCCCUGGUGGUCCGGUGGCAUGGUGGGGCCCCUCGGCUCCCUAUACUUGCAG